AUGGCCAUAUAGUGUUAAAAUACCAGUUCCCAUACAACCACCAAAGUUAAGCAACAUUGUGCCUGGCCAGUACUUAGCUGGAUGACUGUUUGGGAAUACGAGGUGCUGUAA